ACGAACGCUGGCGGCGUGCUUAACCCAUGCACGUCGAACGGAAAGGCCCUGCUUUUGUGGGGUGCUCGAGUGGCGAACGGGUGAGUAACACGUGAGUAACCUGCCCUUGACUUUGGGAUAACUUCAGGAAACUGGGGCUAAUACCGGAUAGGAGCUCCUGCUGCAUGGUGGGGGUUGGAAAGUUUCGGCGGUUGGGGAUGGACUCGCGGCUUAUCAGCUUGUUGGUGGGGUAGUGGCUUACCAAGGCUUUGACGGGUAGCCGGCCUGAGAGGGUGACCGGCCACAUUGGGACUGAGAUACGGCCCAGACUCCUACGGGAGGCAGCAGUGGGGAAUAUUGCACAAUGGGCGGAAGCCUGAUGCAGCAACGCCGCGUGCGGGAUGACGGCCUUCGGGUUGUAAACCGCUUUCGCCUGUGACGAAGCGUGAGUGACGGUAAUGGGUAAAGAAGCACCGGCUAACUACGUG
rnacentral:rRNA from 1 species